rnacentral:lncRNA from 1 species
CCGGCCCCAGGGCGACCCCUCCGGAGGCCCCCGGAGAGCAGGGCUUUCUCCACACGGAGACUUUCUAGCCACGUGAGACUUUGACCUCCCAGUCCCCCAGAUUCAGCGCUGGGACCGAGCGUCUGCUGUUAUUUUUAGUAGAAGUAUAAAAAGAAUCUCGAAAAGUUUUAGCUCUGGAGAAGGCGUGAAUACAGCUGGUGCCUUCAUACACUCCACUUGAGCCGCUCUUUAAGAACUCCAGGAGAUCAGAAAGCAAUACGAAAGCCAGAGCAUUGCACAUGGGAUGGGCUGGCGGGUGGCCUUUGGGUCCCUAUCUUAUGGACGAUUUUUGUAAAUGGGGCAUUGGAGAUGAGUAUCACCUGGAUCACAUUUUUAGGUUGAAUUCCUCCGUGGGGGGAACUUUAGCAAUACGCAUCCAAAUAAGAAUGUAGAUUGCAAUAAUUGUAGUAAAGUGUUUGCCAGACUCAUCUCAGAAAAAGACAUUAUCAAAAGGCAUUUAUUAUCUUCCUAAUGCGUGUCUGGCACUGGGCAGACACUGUAGAAUACUAUCUUG